AUACUUACCUGGCAGGGGCAACUCCAUGAUCAGGAAGGUGGUUUCCCCAGGGCGAGGCUCACCCAUUACACUCUGGGCAUGCUGACCCUUGCAAUUUCCCCAAAUGUGGGAAACUCGACUGCAUAAUUUAUGAUAGUGGGGGACUGUGUUUGUCCUCUCCCCAG